GAUGAACGCUGGCGGCGUGCCUAAUACAUGCAAGUCGAGCGGAAAGGCCUCUUCGGAGGUACUCGAGCGGCGGACGGCUGAGUAACACGUAGGAACAUACCCCAAAGUGAGGGAUAAGCACCGGAAACGGUGUCUAAUACCGCAUGUGCGCUAAGGAGUAAAGCUUCGGCGCUUUGGGAAUGGCCUGCGCAUGAUUAGCUUGUUGGUGAGGUAAUGGCUCACCAAGGCGACGAUCAUUAGCUGGUCUGAGAGGAUGAUCAGCCAGACUGGGAACUGAGACACGGUCCAGACUCCUACGGGAGGCAGCAGUUUGGAAUUUUGGACAAUGGGCGAAAGCCUGAUCCAGCGACGCCGCGUGGACGAUGAAGGCCUUCGGGUUGUAAAGUCCUUUUGUAUGGGAAGAAUAUUUUGACGGUACCAUGCGAAUAAGAGGUUGCUAACUCUGUGCCAGCAGCCGCAGUAA
rnacentral:rRNA from 1 species